ensembl:lncRNA
AAUAAAUUAUGUUACCUAUUAUUGAUAAGACUGGUCUCCGUCUAUUUUAUGCAAACAAGAAUCUUACAAAUUCUCAUAAAAUAGAUUAAGGGAAUUCAAUUAAUGAAAACACAUUGGUAUAAUUAAAUUACAGUAACAAUUGGUCCUUCUAGCGGGAUUCCACAAACUUGCCUCUGUCGUCCGAAGGGAAAGCCGAAAGCCGUGCACGGACGAGUCUGGACUCGUUAUUUAAAGACCUGGCCUCUGGAUUAAGGUUUAACAAAACAGGCCGGUAUAAAGAUCUAAGGGCGACAGAGAGGGUGACGGAAUCGAACCAGCAUUGCUUUUCCCAGUCUACAGGACGAAGGUGAAUUACAGGUGAAGUCACUCAAUCCAAUCCCUGAGGCCUGUUGGGGGGACCAUACCAAGGACUCCUGGUGACAGCUAGCUGAAAGAGCUACCCGGAUUCAUAUCACACUGCGGGAGGUUAUCAUUUCCAGGACUCUGGAGAAAUCAAUGACACUUCAGAUGGUGAUAUAUGGACCAAUCCUAAGCUCUGACCAGUGGAAUACAAAAUACAUGGCUCCGGACGUAAUUGAAGAAUCCGGAUCCUUUCACUCGCGAGGAGACCAUAUUUGAUGUUUAGGGAAUUUAGAUGUUUUCUUGUUUCAAUGUAUAGACUGUUUUUUCAUGGAGAUUGUAACGGGAAAUCCUGAUAAGUAGAGUUAAGAUUCUGAUGUAGGUUAGAACAGUCAUUGAAGUUGAUUGUGUGUACAUACAUGUAUUGGUGUUACGGAUACAAGUAUCCUGUGUGUGUAUCCUGUGUGUGUUUCUUUUCUCUCCUUCUCCCCUCACAGGUGAAAAUCAUCACUCCCCAAUCAGACAACAAUCAAUCAUCAAUCAGAAGACACACCUCCUCCUGUUUCCUACCCUAUCACAGUUCCUUUCCCUUGGUUUAAAACCCCCAUCAGUUGUUUGCUCUAGAGCUCAAUCUCUCUGUAAAUGCCAUGUCUGUAGGUCUCACUCUCAGGUUUCACUCUCGCUUUGUGUCUUAACCUCUCUUUUGUUUGAGCACCUCCAAAUCACUUUGUCAACUCCUGUGAGUAUUGUUUUUGGUUAUGGUGUUUGUUUGUUGCUGGUGGGAAAAGGGGGAAACCAAGACAAGUCGCCCAUGGGCAUACACUACCCGUAGGUGAACUUUGUUAAAUACACUAGUUAGAACUGGGCGGACCACCCACUGUAUUUUUGGUUAGUUAG